AUCGGGAUGGAAGGGGCGCAGCCUGAUCCAGCCAUGCCGCGGUGAGUGAUGAAGGCCUUAGGGUUGUAAAGCUCUUUUGUCCGGGACGAUAAUGACGGUACCGGAAGAAUAAGCCCCGGCUAACUUCGUGCCAGCAGCCGCGGUAAUACGANCUGCC
rnacentral:rRNA from 1 species